ensembl:lncRNA
GGCAAGAAUACUGGACUGGGUUGCCAUGCACUCCUCCAGGGGUUCAUCUUGAUUCAGAGACUGAACUCUGGUCUCUUGCAUUGCAGGCAGAUUCUUUACCAUCUGAGCCACCAGGGAAGCCUGCUGGCCUUACAAUAAUGCCAGUUAAAUCAUCCUCUUCUUCUUCUUCUUUUUUUAUUUUAAACAAGCAAGGCCUUCAAGUAGCACACGGUGCUUCUUCCAAUCCUCCAGCGGCUAGAACUCAGACUGUUGGUGAUACUCACCUAUGAGGGAGCCUGAGGAAUGAAAUACAACUGGGUGUCCAGAAAGAAAAGGGCAGGGUCUUAGAGGAAGAGUUAGUAGUUUCUUUGUUAAAGGAUAUGUGAAAUGUUCCUGAUAUGUUCCCGAUAUGUUAUCCUGCCUUUUUCACCAGCCCUGCAAGAAAUGGCACUAUGUAGAUUGAGAUAAAGUUUCAGCACCCAGAUAAACCAAAUGGUUACAUGUCUUUAAGGAUAAAUAUAUCCUUGGAAUUGGAGACUAAGAAAAAUUUCAGGAACCAGGCAGUGCUGGAGAGAGUGUGAGGAACAGAAAAAGGAGCGCAGUAAGCGCCAUGGAAACCUGCAAGAGAGUACCAAGUCUUCUCUGCACUUCAUUUUUGCAGUCGUGCCUGACCUGGCUCCUGCUGCUCUUUACAGAGUCGGCCUCUCAAAUGGACUAAGACAAUGGAUAAAGCCCCAACAAAUGAGCAGCUGGCUUGAUGCUGGAUGUUAAUGCAUUUGGCAAACAGCAACAAACACUCUGCAAGAUUCUGUAACGUAUGGAGAUAUUUGAGAUAAUGUAACCAAAACAUGAAAGUCAUUUUCUGGCAAAAUGGAAACCUGUAUCCUGUCUUGUAAAUGUUAAUAGGAGGGAAGCAGCUUAGCCUCCAUCUGGUACCUACCAAGCGCUGGGAACUUUUACAGGUAACUCAUUGCAGCCUUUACAGCUGCAGAUCAUAAUGGUGCUGGAGAUUAGAAACAGUAAUCUUCGGCAUCAAGAUUAUUUUGUUUUAUUGAAUGCUGUAGUAGGAAGGGACUGUCAUACAGCAGACGUUACUGCUCCCCAAAAUAAUUGAGUAUUCCAUCUAUUAAAAAGAUUCCAAAUUCUAGUGUGUGGAAAAAAGACCAAACAAUGGACUUCAAGAUGCAGAAAAAAAAAAAAAUCUAGUUCUUGGUUCCGAAAGGAUUUCUGUUCAGAUGCUCUCUGUUAUUUUGAUAUAUAAAAAGGAGUGUGUCUGGAUUUUGUAUGAAGUAUAGGACCAAGGAGAGAAACUCCUCUUGGGGCCAUCAAGUAUUUUAUAGCAUUGUGGUAAUGAAUGAUUAAAUAGAUGGAGAUAGCAUAGUUCUCAAUAUAAACACCCAAAUAAAUUAGUGAGAGGAGACUCAAAGUUCAGCAUUUAAAAAUUUUAAAAGGAACAUAAUUCUUU